AGGUUAAGCUACAAAGGGCGCACGGUGGAUGCCUUGGUGCUAGGAGCCGAAGAAGGACGGGACGAACACCGAUAUGCCUCGGGGAGCUGUAAGUGAGCAUUGAUCCGGGGAUUUCCGAAUGGGGGAACCCAUGCUUCGUAAUGGAAGCAUACCCAUCUCUGAACACAUAGGAGAUGAGGAGGCAACCAG
rnacentral:rRNA from 1 species